rnacentral:rRNA from 1 species
UACAGAGGUCCCAAGCGUUGUUCGGAUUCAUUGGGUUUAAAGGGAGCGUAGGCGGACUUAUAAGUCAGUGGUGAAAUCUCCGAGCUUAACUCGGAAACUGCCAUUGAUACUGUAAGUCUAGAGUACAGUUGCCGUUGGCGGAAUAUGACAUGUAGUGGUGAAAUACUUAGAUAUGUCAUAGAACACCGAUUGCGAAGGCAGCUAACGAAGCUGUAACUGACGCUGAGGCUCGAAAGUGCGGGGAUCAAACAGG